rnacentral:lncRNA from 1 species
GUCAUAGCAUACGUUGCAAAUUGUUUUUGUUUUGUUCUUGUUGAGUGAUGUAUGCUGAGGUUGUGGUCCAAGCAAUGGAAGGACAUAGAAAAUAUGCUUAACAACCUUGUGUUUUUACCACAUGUAUACAGUAAAGUAGAAAAAUAUAGCUCACAAAUCCAAAUCCCCUGUUCCCCAUAAGCUUGGGUAAAGUUUUAAGAAUCCCCA